CAGUCACUAUUUGCUGGUGCAGCAUCAUCAAGAUUCACAAGCUCUUAUCAAACAACUCCAUCCCUGUCUGAGGAGACUAAAGUCCUCAGAAGAUAGGCUUGUAAUAUGAGAGAUGUGAGAAUCUUGAUGAUGCUGCAUCGGCAGAUACUGGCUA
rnacentral:pre_miRNA from 15 species